AAAUGCGCAGAGGCUGGCGGACUGGCUGCUGCCGGUGCAGGAGC
rnacentral:ribozyme from 1 species